rnacentral:lncRNA from 1 species
UUUUUUUUUUCUUUUUCCUUUUUUUUUUUGCCUUUUCUAGGGCUGCUUCCUGCUGCAUAUGGAAGUUCCCAAUGCAGCCAUUAAAAAAAAAAAAAAUCCAGACUUAGGCAUGGCCAAAAAAAUACCCCAAAACACUAUAGGCAAAGUCGAAAGUCAAACAAUGAAGUAGGAAAAAGAAGUGCACGCAUAUCACUAACAACGUUAUAAUCACCCAAAUAUAUAAAGAAGUCUUUAUAUAUCAAGAAGAAAAACAACAAUAUCCCAAUAGAAAAGUAAGCCAAGGGUACAGUCAAUUCACCAAACAAGUAAUACAAAAGAAGUAACAUGAACAGGUGCCUAACUGCACUCAUAACAAGAGAAAUGUAAAUUAAAACUGUCCUGUAAUACCCUUUUUCACCUAUCUGAUUGGCAAAAAUCCAAAUGUUUGACAAUGCGGUCUGGUGGUGAGGCUGUGGGGAAAUAGGCAGUCUCACAUGUUGCUAAUGAGAAGAAAAACAGAGGGCAAAAUCUGUCCAAAGGACAUAUGCAUGUACCUUUUAACCCAGCAAUCCCACUUCCGGAAGUUUAUCUUUAGCUAUAACUGCACACACAAAAUGAUGUACAUACAAGGGUAACUGUUUCAAGGAGUCCAUAAGGAGCCUUCUUUAACACAUUUACUUCCAUCUGCUAGAAAUCUGCAUGACAAACUUAUAAGAUCUGUGCUAAAAACAGCACUUUUGUGCAGUGCACAACUUGCACUACUGUCCCUGGCAUUCCCUAAUAACAGCAUGUGUUGUAAUGGCACAAGAAUGAGAACAAAGCAAGUGUCCAUCAACAGGGAGUAAUCAAAUAAACUAUAAUAUAUACACAAACUGGAAUACUGGAUAGCUGCAAAAAAAAAAAAUCAUAAUCAGGAUAUGCCCCGUAUCUCCAGAAUAAUAAUUAAUUAAUAAUUAUUAUCACUUAAUAAUAAUUAAGUGAUAUAGGCUAAUGUAUAUAGUUUAUUGCCUAUUAUAUAAGAGGAAAAUAACAAUAUCUGGAGAAAAUGAUAGGAUACAAAUAAACUAAUGCUCACCACAGUGGGAAUGAGGUAGCACAGGUAGAAAAAGGGGCAGGAAUGAGACCUCACUUCAUACUUUGUUGCACUUAACUUUUUAAAUUACGUGAAUGUUAUUAUUUAUUUAAAAAUGAAGCCAAUGCAUCUUUAAAAUUACAGGUUGUAACUGUGUGAAACAGAUAUUGAGCUACAUAAUGCUAUGUACAUGACAUCAAAUCUUGGGAUGUGUGAAGCCCUGAAUAGUUGGGAGGGAGGGAGGGAUCGCUUCCCAUUUUUUAAAAAAAGUCAUAACUGAAAGUUAUACCUUUUUACCAGCCUCUCCCUAUUUCCCCCACAUCCCUCCUCAUGGAAACCACUCUGUUUUCUACUCUCUGUUUCUGUGAGUUUGACUUUUUCUUUUUAGAUUCCACUGAAAUGACACCAUGCAGUGUUCGUCUUUCUUUGGCUGGCUUUAUUUCGCUUAGCAUAACACCCUCCAGGUUCAUCCAUGUUGUUGCAAAUAGAAGGAUUUCCUUUUUUUUUUUUCUUUUUAAAGCUGAAUAAUAUUUCACUGUGUGUGGACAUAUAUACACACACGUACAUACCACAUCUUCUUUAUCCAUUCAUCCUUUUUUUUUUUUUUUGGCCAUGCCUGCUGCAUGUGGAAGUUCCAGGGCCAGGGAUUGAACCUGAGCCACAGCAGCGACCCAAGCCAAACAGUGACAAAGCCAGAUCCUUAACCUGCCGAGCCACCAGGGCACUUCUUCAUUCAUCCACUGACAGCCACUUAGGCUAUUUUCACACCUUGGCUAUUGUGAAUAAUGAUGCAAUGAACU